rnacentral:rRNA from 1 species
UACGGGGGGGGCAAGCGUUGUUCGGAAUUACUGGGCGUAAAGGGCGCGUAGGCGGCCUGCUAAGUCGGAUGUGAAAUCCCUCGGCUCAACCGAGGAACUGCAUCCGAUACUGGCGGGCUUGAAUCCGGGAGAGGGAUGUGGAAUUCCAGGUGUAGCGGUGAAAUGCGUAGAUAUCUGGAGGAACACCGGUGGCGAAGGCGGCAUCCUGGACCGGUAUUGACACUGAGGCGCGAAAGCCAGGGGAGCAAACGGG